AUAAAUAACACUUCUUCAAGUUACCGUCGGUAAAUGUCCUGUGUUUGUAAUUAGAAUCAUUUCAAUGAUUUUGCCAUGGCAGACGUGGAGACCAGCUGAAGGCGUGCUCUGGCCAGCGACAUGCCUGGGAUUGGUUUGCCCGGGCAGACAGUGAAUCAUGCAGAGGGUCUUGGGAGUUCUGGAGAUCCAAAGCUCCUUGAUUAUCCCUUUCACUCAGGCUGGAUGUAGACUGGAUGUGGUGGCUGGUCUAAAAGACCAGAUCAGCCCCGCUACAAAGGGGACCCUAAGCCCCAGGGCUGCUAACCCAGCUUUAUUCAAACUGGCUUACUGACAGAACUUGGUAUGUGGAGGUGUAGACACAAGCUCCUCAACACGAUACUUUUCCUAGUACACAAUCACCUGGUACACAAUAGUUUACACUGAUGCUACUAAAGUGGAAAGCUGAAUGAGGAGUCAUCUCUUUGGGCUCCACGCAUACUUCUCACGAGGCUCCCUCGUCU